GCGGACGGGUGAGUAACGCGUGAGUGACCUGCCUCAUAGAGGGGAAUAACUUCUGGAAAGGGAUGCUAAUACCGCAUGAUGCAUCGGAGUUGCAUGGCUUUUAUGUCCAAAGAUCUAUUGGUCCAAGAUGGACUCGCGUCUGAUUAGCCAGUUGGUGAGGUAACGGCUCACCAAAGCGACGAUCAGUAGCCGGAUUGAGAGAUUGAACGGCCACAUUGGGACUGAGACACGGCCCAGACUCCUACGGGAGGCAGCAGUGGGGAAUAUUGCGCAAUGGGGGAAACCCUGAUGCAGCAACGCCGCGUGAAGGAUGAAGUUUUUCGGAAUGUAAACUUCUUUCAUCAGGGAAGAAGAAUGCGGUUCCUAAAUGAAUAAGCUCCGGCUAACUACGUGCCAGCAGCCGCGGUAAUACGUAGGGAGCAAGCGUUAUCCGGAUUUACUGGGUGUAAAGGGUGCGUAGGUGGUAUUGCUAAGUCAAGAUGUGAAAAUCCCAUGGGCUUCAACUCCUAUGGCACUGCUUUUUGAAAAUAUCGGGUUGGAGUGCAGUAGAGGUAGGGGGAAUUCCUUGUGUAGCGGUGAAAUGCGUAGAGAUUGGGAGGAACAUCAGUGGCGAAGGCGGCUUACUGGGCUUUAACUGACGCUGAGGCACGAAAGCGUGGGUAGCAAACAGGAUUAGAUACCCUGGUAGUCCACGCUGUAAACGAUGAUUACUAGGUGUGGGGGGUGUGGCGCCUUCGGUGCCGCAGCCAACACAGUAAGUAAUCCACCUGGGGAGUACGUUCGCAAGAAUGAAACUCAAAGGAAUUGACGGGGGCCCGCACAAGCGGUGGAGCAUGUGGUUUAAUUCGAAGCAACGCGAAGAACCUUACCAAGUCUUGACAUCCCUGUGACCGGUCAGUAACGUGUCCUUUUCUUCGGGACACAGGUGACAGGUGGUGCAUGGUUGUCGUCAGCUCGUGUCGUGAGAUGUUGGGUUAAGUCCCGCAACGAGCGCAACCCUUAUCCCCAGUAGCCAGCGGUUCGGCCGGGCACUCUGAGGAGACUGCCAGGGAUAACCUGGAGGAAGGUGGGGAUGACGUCAAAUCAUCAUGCCCCUUAUGAUUUGGGCUACACACGUGCUACAAUGGCGUAAACAAAGGGAAGCGAGACCGCGAGGUGGAGCAAAUCCCAAAAAUAACGUCCCAGUUCGGAUUGUAGUCUGCAACUCGACUACAUGAAGCUGGAACCGCUAGUAAUCGCAGAUCAGAAUGCUGCGGUGAAUACGAACCCGGGUCUUGCACUCACCGCCCGUCA
rnacentral:rRNA from 1 species